GGGUGGGGUGAUGAUUCCUCCUCUGUUUGUUUUGGUUCCAGGGAGUCCUCAGAGUCAGAAGACAGAGACAAGAGAGUAUCUUCUGGGCAAGCAUCGCUGGUGAGAUUGGAUCCUGGCCAGCCACAACCUGUCCAGGAAGGACCUGCGUGCCUGCCAUGCCUAUGGACCAGCCAGAUCCUGCCCCACUCAAGCUGAUGGCCAACAUUGUGCAUUGCCCAGCUAUGCAACAGGAGGGAUGUGGACUACCUCCAGCUCUCAAAGGACCUUAUCACACAGCAUGCUGAUAGCUCGCAGGCCACCUGUGAGCUGCUGCACUAAAUGGACCAAAGAGAGGGAGGAAUUCAUAAGGAAGACAGGCGGGUCUUGCAAGAGGUCACAGCUCAGAUGGUGUGGGCCUACCAACAGGUGUCUGAGCGUACAGUGCAGGCCUACAAAAAAAUCUCGGAUCACACUGCAAGGGAAGUGGUGGCUGCCAUGGAGCAGUCUGAUGCAGCAGCUGAGAGGAGGCUUGAGAGGUACACUGCCAACCUUGAAUGAAUGGCUGACUCUGUUUUUAGAAUUGCAACCAGCUGCCACCCUUUGCACCUCAACAACAGCUGCUCUACCAACUUCAGUUGCUGAUGCCAGGACCCUACCUGCCUGCAUUUAUGGGCCACUACGGGCUCUCAAGUAGUGCAGGGGCAGUUCUUUGUUCCCCUCCAGAAGCACCCACAGGCCCAUAUGCCCCCUGCCCCACCUCAAGGGAGCUUCAGGGUUCUGCAAGGUGGGCAUUUGCCUUCCAUGCCUGAGACACCCUUAAGACCUCCUCCUGUGGGUCCACAUGCAGGGCCCUCAGGAGGUAGCCCAGUCGUUGCAUAUGGGCAGCAAUCCCGCACCCCUGUGCAUACGUAACCCAUGGCCCAUGCACAAGCCCCUCAGCGCCAGUGGGCCCUCAGUUGCACCCCCACAGCUGCCACUAUGCAGGGUCCCCACCAAGAUACCAUACACCACCCCAGACCAAAAGCCUGGUUGUAAAGGGCGGUGGGGAGGGGGGGCUCUGUCCAGAAAUGUGACACCCCCACCUGCACCUUCCCUCAUGAAGAGAAGGCCAACAUGCAAAGAAGCGCUGUGCAGCCACAUUCAUGCGUGGGCUUCUCUGAGGUGAAAGAAACAACUGGGGGGUACAGUAGGAGAUGGCUAUGAACAAGCUACUGCUCCCCAAGAGCAGAGCAGAGGGGAGCCUGAGGAAACAGCCGCCUAAUCCUCCUCCACCACAUAGGCUCGCGACUCCACCAUGGUCUACGUGCUCCUGAACAGGUGAAUGCCACCUGGAAGGCAUAGCUGCAACCUCCCUUGCUUUGCUUUGUUUAGAAGGCACUUUAUAGUAGCUUUAGACCCCCAAAGUGCUGGUAAACCCCCAAACCACAAGCUCUCAAGCCCACACCCAGCUUCUAGUCCUAUGUUCACACCCACGUGCUCCAAAUCAUCCCUUUUGGUUGUUUUCCUCUUUGAAGUUUGCAAAGAGGAUUUUGUUGGUCACAUCCUUGAAAUAAAGUGUUGCUCUUUGCUUUGAAAA